rnacentral:rRNA from 1 species
UGGGGAAUUUUGGACAAUGGGCGAAAGCCUGAUCCAGCAAUGCCGCGUGUGUGAAGAAGGCCUUCGGGUUGUAAAGCACUUUUGUCCGGAAAGAAAUCCUUGGCUCUAAUACAGUCGGGGGAUGACGGUACCGGAAGAAUAAGCACCGGCUAACUACGUGCCAGCAGCCGCGGUAAUACGUAGGGUGCAAGCGUUAAUCGGAAUUACUGGGCGUAAAGCGUGCGCAGGCGGUUUGCUAAGACCGAUGUGAAAUCCCCGGGCUCAACCUGGGAACUGCAUUGGUGACUGGGCAGGCUAGAGUAUGGCAGAGGGGGGUAGAAUUCCACGUGUAGCAGUGAAAUGCGUAGAGAUGUGGAGGAAUACCGAUGGCGAAGGCAGCCCCCUGGGCCAAUACUGACGCUCAUGCACGAAAGCGUGGGGAGCAAACAGGAUUAGAUACCCUGGUAGUCCACGCCCUAAACGAUGUCAACUAGUUGUUGGGGAUUCAUUUCCUUAGUAACGUAGCUAACGCGUGAAGUUGACCGCCUGGGGAGUACGGUCGCAAGAUUAAAACUCAAAGGAAUUG